UGUCUAUAAUAAACUGAAAUAUUUGGGACUGAUCUUGAUGUCUGCCAAAACAUGUAAGAGUGUCAAGAUCAGUCCCAAAUAUUUCGGUUUAUUAUAAACA
ensembl:miRNA